AUCGUACCCCAAACCGACACAGGUGGUCAGGUAGAGAAUACCAAGGCGCUUGAGAGAACUCGGGUGAAGGAACUAGGCAAAAUGGUGCCGUAACUUCGGGAGAAGGCACGCUGGUGUGUAGGUGAAGCCCCUGCGGGUGGAGCUGAGACCAGUCGAAGAUACCAGCUGGCUGCAACUGUUUAUUAAAAACACAGCACUGUGCAAACACGAAAGUGGACGUAUACGGUGUGACGCCUGCCCGGUGCCGGAAGGCUAAAUGAUGGG
rnacentral:rRNA from 1 species